UUUUUAUUGGACGUUGGUUGCCACAUGUUGCGAUUUUAUUGAAGGUUGACGUUAAUUAGGUGCACAAAAUUAAUGUGCAUUAAAAGCACGACACUUGGCGGUUAACGUCCAAUAAAAGUGUGACACAUGGCAAUCAAGAUAA
rnacentral:pre_miRNA from 1 species